AUGCAUAGAUAUCACACAGAAUAUCGAUGGCGAAGGCAGCUCACAAAGCUAAUAUUGACGGCUGAUGCACGAAAGUGUGGGGAUCAAACAGGAUUAGAUACCCUGGUAGUCCACACUGUAAACGAUGAUAACUCGCUGUCGGCGAUACACAGCCGGUGGCCAAGCGAAAGCGAUAAGUUAUCCACCUGGGGAGUACGACCGCAAGGUUGAAACUCAAAGGAAUUGACGGGGGCCCGCACAAGCGGAGGAACAUGUGGUUUAAUUCGAUGAUACGCGAGGAACCUUACCCGGGCUCGAACGGUGCAUGAAUAACGCAGAGAUGUGUUAGUCCUUCGGGACAUGUAUCGAGGUGCUGCAUGGUUGUCGUCAGCUCGUGCCGUGAGGUGUCGGCUUAAGUGCCAUAACGAGCGCAACCCUUGUCGUUAGUUGCCAUCAAGUAAUGUUGGGGACUCUAGCGAGACUGCCACCGUAAGGUGCGAGGAAGGGGGGGAUGACGUCAAAUCAGCACGGCCCUUACGUCCGGGGCGACACACGUGUUACAAUGGCAGGUACAGAGGGCAGCUGGCCAACGAUGGGGUGCGAAUCUCGAAAGCCUGUCUCAGUUCGGAUCGGAGUCUGCAACUGGGAUCCGUGAAGUUGGAUUCGCUAGUAAUCAGGGAUCAGCCAUGGCGCGGUGAAU
rnacentral:rRNA from 1 species